UAUUAUAUAAUAAUUAAAAAUAAAUCUUGAAUAUUAAUAGUUAUGAUCUUUAAACUUAAAGAAUUUGACGGUAUUUUAUCCUUUUAGAGGAAUCUGUUCUGUAAUUGAUAAUACACGAAUUUAAAUACUUAAUUUUGUUUAGCUUGUAUAUCAUUGUCAAAAAAUUAUUUUUAGAAAAUUUAUUUUUGGGAAAAAUUAUUAUUUAUUAUGUCAAAUCAUGAUGCAGUUUAUAAUUAAGAUAGAAAUGGAUUACAAUUUUAGAGUAAGCGGAUAUAUUUUUUAAUGGAAUAAUUGAAGGUGGAUUUAAAUGUAAAUUUAUUUAUUGUUAAGUUGAUAAAGGUUCUAAAAUAUGUACAUAUCGCCCGUCGCUCUCAUUUAACAUGGG
rnacentral:rRNA from 1 species